UGUGGGAGCUGGCUUGCCAGCGAUGGCGGCUGCACAUUCAACACAUUUGCUGACGGGUGCACCGCUAUCGCUGGCAAGCCAGCUCCCACA
rnacentral:antisense_RNA from 1 species